GGGGGUGGGGAUAAAAAGUUUGAGGGGCGCUUCCACGGUUUCUGAAUGCAACUCCCUUCUUUUGAUUCUUUCAUUCUUUUUCGAAAAUGAUUAGGAAUUAAAUUAAUCAUCAUUGUUCGAUAAUGCCUGAUAAACCCGUAUUUUACUUUCAAAGCUACCAGUUGUCAAAUCACGACUAGAAGAGAAAGGCAUAGGUACAUAAAUGUCUGUCAUCAUAAUCACUACAAGGAAAAAGAAAGAACCAAAAAUUUUGGCUAAAAUUUGACAAUGACAGAGAGUUAUAUUUCCUCCGGCUUCGUGUCUUGGCACGUCUUGACAUGAUAUGAGCCACUUUCGUUAGGAUCAAAUUCAGAGUUUUGAAAAACUGUUGAAUAUGCUCAUAAGUACUGUGAUAAAUUUUUCAAUCCCCUUUCUUAUGAGGAAAAAACUUCACACAAAUCAAAGCUCGAGACAAAACCUCGAUAACACGAUAACACGGCUUAUGGUUUUGCUCUGAUAAAUCGUAUGCUUGGGCAAAAUAUAAAAUAACUUUUAUUACACUUUUGAAUUUUUGGUUAUUAAAAGAAGAUUUCAUUUAUAUUCGAUCGUUCAUUUCUUUUUGCGUUGUUCCUGCCUAUUGUCUACAAGUUUCCUACCAAGGAUCGCAUGAUCAACGACAUCACAAUCAUAUGACCAGUGGUCAAUGAAUUGAUAUACCAGUCAUUUGUACCAGACAGUGGACAAGCGACUACGGUGUGCAUGUAUCUCAAUACAGAUUGACUGAAAAACAGUGAUUUGCUUGUGCUUGUGACCGAGUAUUUGAAAGAAAUGUAAGGACAGCAAUAGCAAUAAAAUUAGAUUGAUCAUCAUGCUACCACCCAUUGUUGCAACUGGGGCAACUCCUAAUCGCCUGUGACAGUGUAUGACACAAACACUAGUGCCAGUGAAUUAGUUCAAGAUAUUACAUAUGGAUUCCUAAAAGAACCCUUUCUAAAAUCACAAAAUUGCUUACUUAGUCACUAGGACCAAAAUCCAAAUAUAAAUGGCAAUUUAAAAUUUUUUAGGUCAACCAAUUUGGAAUAAAAAGGUUGGUACAUCUACAGUCAGAGGAUCAUCUGCUUUUUGCUGGCUAUUUGGACCUAUUGCAACCAAAUGAUAAUUGAAGACUUCUGCAAUGUUUUCACAAUUGUAUGUUACACAUGUGGGAAAGGUUCUCUUAGUAGCAACGCUAUUCAAGACUUUCUUAAUUGGCUUCAAAAUUUCUUUAGGAUUGCUGAUGGUCUCAUGGUGUGCAUGGUCUUAUUUUGUUAUGUUGUUUGUUAUGUUAUAUUGUUAUAUUAUAUGUUGCGUUGUUUUGUUAUAUUUUGCAAUUCCUUACUCGAAUAAUCCCAUUCCUGCACCCCUUCCCCCAAAACAAUGUUGAUAGAUUAGAAAAAUACCAUAGAAGUCGCAAAAAACGUACUUACUAAUCCCCUACGUCGUUUUGUAGAAAACCAACAUUGUUCGAAGAGGAAUGGCUAAAUUUGCCCUUGAAAACUGACAUUAGUGUACCUAGACUUUUCACAGGCAUUUUAGAAGUCUUAACUGGUGCUUGCACUUUCAGUUGUUACUUUAUUGCUUAUUUUCUGCAUUCAGGUCAGAAUACAUGGAGCCAAUGCAAAAAUUAAUUUUGCUUAUAGGGUUUUUUUGCAUCUAGAAUUGACAGGAUAAUUGUGAAGAAGCUUCAUGUCAAGUCGCUGGUGUCCCUUGAAAUUGCCAAGAUAUAACUGUCAUAGUCGAUACUUUGUAAAUCAUGAAGAAAUAUCCUAAAAGUAGUUCUCUAGACUACACAUAGAUAUCCUAUCUCGAUGAGCUCCAAAACUAGGUGAACGAGGUUGGAGGCAAGAUAUUCUGGCAAAAAAUUGGAAAAAUUACCCAAAGCCCCAAGUAAUUUUUUUAUUGGUAUUUUCAUUAUAAAUUUUCAAAAAAAUAAGCAGAAAUAAUUAAAGAGUCAGUAAAGAGACAUGUUUAUCAUACCAUUUUAUCAUAUAUUAUCUCCCUCUAAAUCUUUCUAUUUUAUAUAAAUAAAACUUUUAUAACUCUCAUUAUUCACAAUAAUUUAUACACGUCAAAUAAACAGCUAUAUAAUCAAUCAACAAUAUGACCUUAUUUUAAUCCAUCAUCAAAUGCCCUACAUUAUUCAAGUCACUAAUAGCAAAAGUAAUGCUUUUGUGCUCAAUAAAUUUUGGUGUACCAGUAUGAUUUUGAUUAAAAUAUCAAAAGAUUGUUCACAUCGAAAUAACAGAUAGGUGUUUUAACAAAGCAAAAAAGCUUCAAGGUUUGAUUCUUUGGAUACUGACUUUUGAACAAGCCCAAUGAAUGAAUCCCAAAAUUUGGAGCACAGUUUAAACAUCACUUUACAUAAAAUGUUGGGCCACAUUGUUAACUAUACAUCAUAAAUGUAUAUAAAUCGGAAUGUUCGUAACAUGUCCUCUUUUUAAAUAACACUUGGUAGAAUCUUCUAACAGUCAGGUUUUUAACUAUUCUAUAGAAUGUUAAGGUUUCUGCUUAAAUAUAAAUUAAUCACAUAAAUAAUCGGAACAAUACCACAAACAAAGUAAUGAUAUCAACUUUUGAGCCAAACAAAGAACAUCAAGACAUAACACUUAUAAUAUUAAUUCAAAAGCUCCUAACAAAUUCAUAUGACAGUCACUGAGACCCACUAUCAGGGGAAUAUUAUAACACUCUGAGUAUUCAUCAUAUACUGUACUUUUGAGCAAAGAUCUGGAGUUCAAUUAUGUAUCUUUAAUGCACGCUUUUUGGUAUGUUAUGUAUUUGUCUUAACCUAUAUUUCCAUAUUAUGUUUUGAGAAAGUUUUUUUAGUAAAAGUAUUGCACAAUAUAUUUGCCAUAUGGGACACAGGACUUUCAGGCUUCUGUCACACAAGACAAUGUCAGUAAAGUAUAUAGGCCAAACUUUCUAGAUAAAAACAAAGGUUUUCUAGAGCAAAUAAAUAAUUAUAAUAAGUUAUUUUGCCUUUUUAGAGUAUGAAAAUGAAAUUGUGGGAGUUUCGGGUUUUAUAACAAAGUGUGGAUUCUUAAAUUUGAAAAGUGGGGAAUUUUCAGAUCUACAUCAUACAGAAAUGUAUAGGGCAUCAGCUAGAUAUUUCCAGCUUAUUCAUCUGAAGAUAAUUUAUAUUAACAAUAUCUAUGAUAAAGUUGGUUUCGUUUAAAAAAAAAUAAUUAGUAUCUAUUAGGGCAGAUUGAGCAGACAAGUCUGAUCAAUGCAAUAUGUCAUUUGCGUGUAAAUCUGCGUUUCGCGGGUGUAAACGAGGGAAAGCACGUUGUGGUUCAAAACAAUGGGAUAUGCAUAUUGAAUGCAGAAGACAAGACAAAACGAUAAGUCUCUAAACAAAAUUUCGCAAAUUUAUCUAGUCUAAACUGCCAUUCUUUGAAGCGUGCGGUCUCUGUUUAUUUUUGUCAGUCUUAUUGCUAACGAUAAUCCAAACCGUUGUGAAGGGCCGUUUAUUGUUUUUCCAAGUUGGUUGUCUGUGUACAAGUUCUUUUGUUUGGUGACAAUAGACCUCGCUAAAGCAGCCGUGGCCGCCCUGUUCAGCGGAGGGCUGUUAGGCAUGGCACAGGUGUUCGAGACAUGGAGUUAUUGUAGUAUAGCAACGUGCAUAGGCAGGUUGUUUUGAUUCAUACACAUUGAGAGCCUCUUUAACAUAAGUACCACUUAUAAAUAUUUCCUAACACAUAUAACUCAGAAUAUGCAAUAAUAUUAACACAUUUUGUCAGGCUGUGAAGCCUUUAUAAAGAAUUUUUGACAUUGUUUGAUAAGAGAACUGCCAUUAAAAAUGUUCUUUUCUUGGAAUCUUCUUUUGAACAGACAGACGAACAAGUAAAACCUUGCAUAAAAGCUGCUUUUUAAGCAUCGUUAAAAUUUAUACCGCAGGAAAUUUGACCCAACACGAUUGUACGAAGAAAGCCUUGCACAAAAAGCAAGCCUUCAAUAAAAUUAAAUAUAUACAUUAUUCAUAUCUGGGGGUGGACAAAAGGAAAGCGCGAGUGCAUUGAAUGCAAGUGGUUUAAAAGGCCACGUCGCCUAACAAAAUUCCUACCACAAAAUUUGCAUGGGUAAGUGACGUGGUCGGUUUCGUGUAAUUUUACGUGUUUUUUCAUGUUGCUUGGAUCACUAAAGGAUUUUCCACAAACCUGGCAUUUUAAGGGUUUUUCCCCUGAGUGUGUCCUCAUGUGAAUCUUCAGCACGUAUUUUCUGCAAUAAAUUUUUCCACAUUUUUCGCAUUUGAAGCCUUUGCUCCCUGAAACUUGUUGUUGCUGCCGUGUUUGUAAGGGUUGUGUGGGGGUUUCCUCUCCGUCGCUAUGUUGUUCCUUUUUCUUCACAGGACGGGGGGUUACCUUGGGCUUCUCUGGAACUUCUUCUAUAGUUUCCUCUUCUUGCUUUAUAGGAAAUUUUCGUUCCACAUUCUGUUGUUGGACAUCUUCUGCUUGCACGGCCCCCAGGGUGUUUCUGUUGAACUCAAUUCUUCCAGUGUUUCGCAGCAGAGGAAAAUCUUUGAUCAUCAAAGGAAUGGGUAAAGAACACAAUGUAUUGUCUCCGUUCAACCAGGUAAAAUUUGUUCCCCCGCGUUUUGACCCAAUGUCACACUUGGAUACGGUAGAUCGCUGAAACUCCAUACUAUCAACUGGUUCAAAAAACUGGCUGAUGUUUGGCAACUUAUUACUUUUGUCUCCCUCGGCUUCCUCUUGGUCAUUUUUGCCAGGGAUGUCGUAAGAAGUAGGCUCUGGGGAACUUCUCUCUAUUUUUACCUUUACUUCAUCAAAUGUAGCAGUUCCGUUAUCAUGUACCAUUAAAUUCAAAGUAUCAUUUCCGAUUAAAUUGUUUUCCUCUUCCUUUCCCAAUAUCCGCUCGAUUGUGAAGUUUUUAGCAUUGUCCGAGCGAUUGUCGAUCUCAUCGCUGCUGUCUGAUUUGAUAAGCAUUUUGUUAAUGGUUUGUUGUUGAUCGUUAUACAAAUGUGUACCAGUGGCGGGAACUCUGCGGAUGUUCUGCACAAUUUUUUCAUCAGGCGAUCUUCGCAUUUCCGAUGGAUCUGGUUCAGAUAAUCUGGCCUUCUUCGGUUUUGGCGAAGUAGCGAAAUCUGCCAACUUAUUUACUUGAUGGCCUAAGCCUUUUUCAGGCUUCGCUUUCGUGGGAACAGCCGGCGUUAGUUCUGGGCCUAAGUGAAAUUUCUCCUUCCUGCUCAAAUUGUCGCCAAGACGGCCGAAGAUCAAGUCACUGGUAAACAUAAAUGUCUUGCGGAAAGCUUCCUUGCUAAGGCUGGACUAUAUUGCUGGAAAAUCGUUUUCAGUCCUUUUCGCAAGAAGAGAAGCUACAAAACUGCCCUUGCCAAGGAGCUACAAGCAUGGGUCAAGAAGCCUGAUUGAAAUUUGAGAAAAAAUUCUUUGAAAAAAUCAAUUAAGUAAAGCAAUGCUGAUUGUCCCUAUUAAUUUCUUUUCAUGUGCAAGGGAAAACAACAAUUUUAUGAACAGAAGAAAUGCGACCUUGCGUAGAUUUCUCUAUUCCAGUUUCCUUUCAUAGUCUUUUUACUAUAAAAGCAAUGUUGCUAAGAUCGUUAUUUUUCCCUGAUUCCUCAACCGCGUCAGUUUUAGGCAAAACUGAGAUCAAAUCUUACUCCUUCGAUCUUUUUUGACAUCUUCACUUAGAUGCACGAAGAUAAUAAUUGCAGAGGAAUUCCGAAGUAAACAGUGAAAACCCGCGUGCAAGAACCUACUUUUUCCAGAGUAUCGCAAAACAGGUUCUUGUAUUAUUGGGUAUUUGUUGACAGUCUAGGCUUAAUGGGUUCUUAGUUUAGUUAUUAAUUUCUACAGAGUGGAUAUUGGUGUUGAUUAUCAGAAAAUAGUAUUAAAUCUUGUCUUUUAUUUAUUCUAAAUAUUUAUUCGCGUACCAAUAUUGCCAAAAGCCCACCAACAAUCAAUGAUACAGUGAUGUUUAUAAAAUAGUAGAAAUAAUUUUUUCGUAAUAACAAUUCAAAUUUAACAUAAAUUGUGCAUUUUUAUUUUAACAAUUUAAUUUUCUGUCAUAUAAUUGGUUUUUGGUAACAAAGUUUAUAGAUUAAAUGGCUAAACCCCACAUAUAAGAACCUGUUGGAAAAUGUUUGACUAAACAAGUUCUAAUGUUUUGGAGCAUUAAAAAAGCAAAUUUCUGCACCAAGAUUCUUAAGUCCUAGGUUCUUACACACGGGUUUUCACUGUAUUAUAAACUGUUGUCUGAAAGUUGAAAAGCUCACAUGCAGGUAAACCAAUGGUCGAAUGCAAAGAUAGGUGGAUCAUUUGGGAAAAAUUUUGGGUAAUAAACAUCAGGUAGGGACUGAACUAAUGAAGGAGGGACUUCAACGGAAUUUAGUACUCGAGCAAAUCUUUAGGUUUUAUCAAAAAGUGUGUAAUUUUGACAAUCCCUUUGGUCUAUGAGUACUAUAGAUCUCAAGUUUGAUAGUUUAUUGCGGUUAUCUCUAAUACAUCAUAUUAUGUAUCCUUUUAUCAUGGUAUUGCCGAUCCCAUAAUCCAAUCAACCAUUAUCGUUGUCGGAAUUCUCUCUUUUCGUCUUAUUGAUUUAUUGUUUCUGUUAGCUUAAUUUGCUGUAAAUGGAGUGGAAAUGGAGUUUCUUUUUUACUUUUACUUACGUUUAGGAAAAUAUUUAUUUUUAAGUAAUGUCUGAAAGACCGGAUAUUAUUUGUUUUUGUUUUAUGAAUUUGCAAAAUUGCACGAUUCCUGUGACGUAACGCCAAUUUGUAUCUUGUUACCAUCUUUUGUUUUUUUCACGGCCCAUCAAUUAAAAGUUUACACUUCAAAGGUACCUGCAUAUUACCUCGUCUAGGAUUCAGAGAUUCGUGCCCUUAUUAAAAUUCUAGUAGCUAUCUCUUCCAUACAAUAGAAAAGAGUCUUUUUUCUGAAUGCACAGCAUUUCAUCGUAAAGUCUGUUGAUUAGGGUACAAGAACGUGUUGCUCAGUAAAUUGCUUACGAAUCAAUUUACAUGCGUGUAGGCUAUUUAAUUUUGUAAAUGAUUCAUUGCAAGCAACAGAAUUCACGUUAUUGUGAUCCUAAAAAUUAAUCACCUGUGCAACACCUUUUGUCUUUGUUGAGAAUGCUGAAAAUAUCUGCCCGAUAUCAACGAUAUCAUAGAUAUCAACACAAAGUAGAAGUUGUGCAAGCUAUCUGCUGUACAAAUAUUGAGACAAUACAGCUGUAAUAACUUAGCUUUAAUUAGCAUUUAAAAAUUGGGCCAUUCAAAGACAAAUCAGAGAUGUUUUUUGAUAAAAGCCAAAUUUAUCGUUUGUCAUCUAUUUAAAAGGUUUUCUUAUAUCUCGAAUGAACAAUUGUCUGGAUAAGAAAUGUUGAACGAAACUAAAUUGUUCAUUGUAGGAGUUGAUUCGAGUUCUAUCAAAGCCCGCCAAAAUCAAUUUUAUGCUGACGUUAUCCUAUUUCCUAAGACAUUUUCGAUUUUCAAGAAUUUGAGGAGAAGAAAAAAAUGAUCGUGUGAAAGAACAGUCAGCUUGAACAUUAGUUUGUUUGAAAUCAUGUCAUUCACUACUGGGCGUUAUCAGUAGUCUUUCCUCAAUAAAGCAAAUUCAAUCUAUUUUUCAUAAUAAAACAGGUAGAUGGUAGAUAAGGCCCAAAUGAGAAUCUCCCAUUAGAUCUAUGGAAAAAGCAUACAAACGAUGUAUUUUUAUAGAAUGUCUUUACGUCAAAGUUGUAUUUAAUGUUUGCUCUAAUACUAUUUGAAAAAUUGACAAGCGAGAGUGUAAGUUAGUACCAAAUGAAUGGACAAGUACCAAUUUAAUGCAAUUUCGUGAAAAAGCAUCCUAAAAUCUUUACCAACCCCUCUUAUUUUGCAGCUUUUCUAUACGAAAAUUGAAUUUAUUGUUUAAAUAUUAAAGUAGUUUUCUGAAAUUGCGUCUUUCUACAUUGAAAAUGUAAAUAUUGUUAUGACGUUUUCAGCAUAACUCUUCAUCAAGUGACCUUGAUGCCCUUCUUCAGACCUGAUGAAGAGUUAUGCUCGAAAUGUCGUAACAAUAGUCAACUUUUCAUGUACAAAGUCGCAAUUCUGGUUAUAUUGAUUGGUAUUUAUCUCUUUCAACGUACAAUGCACGAAAGCACAUUGAUUAUUAAACCGACCCUUUAAAUGUGCUUGUCUUUUGCAAUGGCCAAUUGUUAGAACAAAGACUAUUGGUAGAACAAAAACUAUUGUCUUACUUAUAAUUCAUGAAAUGUUUACUGUUGUAUCGAUUCUAAUUUCCAACUUCGUUCUAUAAACAUUAUAUUGUUUGGAAGUCACAGCUUCAAUGUAUAUUUGAUGUUUUCGCUUUGAUAAAUAAACAAAUUUUUUAAAUGCAGGUUUACAUCCGAAGACCUUUCUAUUUGUAAUCAAAUCUGCUUCUGAACGAAUUUUGAAUGCCCAUUAGUUUAAAAACUUUGCCAUGGCUUUCCACAUUAUGACAAUAUUGUAAGUCGUUUGGAAGCCUGUUUAAAUUCAUUACGUAAGAAUAGCUAUUUUUGUUAGAAAAUUUACCGCAAUAUCACUGUUGGCACAGGUCCGUUGGAAGUAUUUGUGCAAUUUCUUCUUAAAACCUCUGUUUGCUAAAAUUCAUAAGUAAAUACCUUAUAUAAAGCAGAGCUUGACUUCCUGUCCAUGAAAAUUUAAUGACCAAAGUAUUUUGUCUUACUCUGGUUUGAUUCUCAAGUAAUUCUUCAAAAUCUACUUCCAACAUAAAUUUCAACUCGAAAAAAUUUACAACGUUGCUAUCCUGUUUGUUAUACUGUUCUAUACUAAACUCUAAGAUUUUAAGCUCUAUGCUAAAAUAUUAAACGUCUCUUUACAACACAUUUGUUAAUUCAUGUUAACGUUCUUUAUCUACAAUGAAAUAUUACUGAAGAUCAUUCCAGGUAAAGGGAAUUCUGCAUUUUCUGGUUAUUUCUACUUUAACACUGCUAGAUAAAAUUUUUGAAAUUUUCAAAUAAUAGAAUUGUGCAAUUUUUGACUAAUUGAACCUGUAGACCGGGGGUAUAAUACUAUUUCCAUUCUUAUAAAAAAAUUGGUAUUUUCUAAACCAAAACUUUUCAUCUUUUUGCAAUUUAUGAUAAAUGUCGGAUAGCUGAAAACAUAUUAGAUUUUGGAACAAAUCUAAAACCGUUUUUACUAGAUACGGUCAAAAACGAACAAAAUGUUGAUGUUCUUGAAAAUCGUUUUGAAAAGUCCGAAGUAACUCUAAGCCUGUAAAUUCUCGUCAUUGAAGUCCGUGACAUUUAAGUGUACCUGCCCUGUUCUUAUCCAAAAUAAAAUCAUUUCAAUUAAAAACGAAAUCGAUGUCAUUGACAAAUUCAUAGCUCCUUUUCAACGUUAGAUAAGAUAGCAUUGUAGAGUAGCAGGUGAUCCUGUUUUCUGAUGUAUUACCCAUUACUGUUAAUGACUGUUUCUAUCAAAUUAACAAGUAAUUGAAUGUUUCUAUUGAUUAAUAAAUUUCAAGACUGUCCACGCUAAUUGCUAUUACAUUGAUCAACUUGGUACAAUGUCAAAUAAAACGGCUAGUCCUAAAGCAUUUAAUUAUGGUAAUUAUAAUGAUCUGACAUCAGUUGUGAAGUCAAUAAUUUGGCGGCAGUCACUGUAUUACUUAAGUGUACAGCUCAGCUCUUCAGAAGAAUCGUUAUCAUAAUAGUAAUUGAAUUGCAAGAGUCUGCUGUAAUUUUGAAAAAAUUACGUUAUCUAAUUAUCAAAAAACACAAUUUUUGUUGAAACAUUGUUGGUAUUGCGUAAUCAGGUAGCUGCUUUUUAGUUUAAUUUAAUUUCCAAAUUAUCUGAAUACGUAUAUCUGUUGGUUGUUUUACUUAGCUUGCGGUUCAAAUCUUGUUAUAGUGUAGUUGUAAUCAAAGCGUUAAUGUCAGAUUUUUUACACGCCAAACACUCGUCAAGUUGAAAUGGUUUCACGUACGGCAUAAAUAAUAGAUAAUGAAUUACCUAAAAUGACAUGCUUUUCUCGUGGCACUGUACAGUUUUCAUGGUGUCAUUAAUUUGGCACUUUAAGGAUCUUUUUGGAACUAUACAUCAUGCUUAAGCGAGCUGUUUAUGAAAUCUAGGAUUCGGAAGCUUACUCGCAGGGGUCCUUCUUCCGACAAAUCUAGGUCUUGAAAUCUCAGUUGAUCACAAUUUGUAGAAAUUUGCAUAAGUAAACAUCCGUAUCAUUGCAAGCAUUAACGCAACAGUUGUCAAGAAAAGCAAGCGCUUUGCGUUUGAUACGAAUGAUAAUAUUGGCUACGUGAAAUCGUUUUAAAGCUUUCUCUUUAUAUUUCGUGUGAUACUUGACAGAUUAACUUUUCAGGUGAAGGAACAUAGAGAAUAGAACCUUCUUUCUCAUACCUAAGCUGCAGAUUAAGCUGCAAAAAUGACAUAUGAUGAAUUGUGCGCAAGAGAGAUUCUAUUUGGUGCUUGCAUGUUGUUGCAAAGUUUCUAUAAGAUUUACAAGACGUAACGUGACUUUGAUGAUUACUUUUUACAAACAGUAAUCAAUUUCUUCAAUUUUGCUUUUUUGUCUACUCAUUUGCAGUUAUUACAUUGAAAGAACUUCUUACUACAGGUGUUAUACUUUCUUACAAGAUCUGUUUGACUGUUUAUCUUUGUGCCAGAUUUUUCGUCAAGAAUACACAGGAAUUCUUGAAAACGAUGAUCUUGCAAAAAUUGACAGUUUGUUUAUUUAUAGAUAAACAGAAGAUCAAAUUUGCCAAAAAGUAAAUUUUAAAUGUUGAUAGAACUUUCCUACAACCACCUUUAUCCUAUAAACUAUGCUGUUCUUUCUUAAUGAGCUCUGAUAUUGCUCUGAUGGCAAACUAGCUGCAAAGAAGGUGAAGAAAAAUACAUUGCUCUUUAUCAUUCUUG